UUGGAGGGCAAGUCUGGUGCCAGCAGCCGCGGUAAUUCCAGCUCCAAUAGCGUAUAUUAAAGUUGUUGCAGUUAAAAAGCUCGUAGUUGAAUUUCGGGGUCAGCAGGUUGGUCGUGCCUAUGGUAUGCACUGGCCUUGCUGAUUCCUCCCUCUUGAUGAGCCGUAAUGUCAUUAAUUUGGUGUUGCGGGGAAUCAGGACUGUUACUUUGAAAAAAUUAGAGUGUUUAAAGCAGGCGAGCGCUUGAAUACAUUAGCAUGGAAUAAUGAAAUAGGACGUUUGAUCCUAUUUUGUUGGUUUCUAGGAUUGACGUAAUGGUUAAUAGGGAUAGUUGGGGGCAUUAGUAUUCAAUUGUCAGAGGUGAAAUUCUUGGAUUUAUUGAAGACUAACUACUGCGAAAGCAUUUGCCAAGGAUGUUUUCGUUAAUCAAGAACGAAAGUUAGGGGAUCGAAGACGAUCAGAUACCGUCGUAGUCUUAACCAUAAACUAUGCCGACUAGGGAUCGGAUGAUGUUAAUUUUUUAAUGACUCAUUCGGCGCCUUACGGGAAAC
rnacentral:rRNA from 1 species